UUUCCGUAGGUGAACCUGCGGCAGGAUCAUUCAUAAUAAAGUGUUUUAUGGCACUUUUUAAAAAUCCAUAUCCACCUUGUGUGCAAUGUUAGAUCUCGUCAAUCUUGGCGAGAUUUUUAUACAUCAACUCAUUCUUUAACUAAUUUGUCUGAAAAAUAUUAUGAAUACUUAAUUCAAAAUACAACUUUCAACAACGGAUCUCUUGGCUCUC
rnacentral:misc_RNA from 1 species